GACGAACGCUGGCGGCGUGCUUAACACAUGCAAGUCGAGCGGUAAGGCCCUUCGGGUACGACGAGCGGCGAACGGGUGAGUAACACGUGGGUGACCUGCCCUUACGCUCUGGGAUAAGCCUGGGAAACUGGGUCUAAUACCGGAUAUGACCUCAUGACGCAUGUUGUGGGGUGGAAAGCCUUGUGCGGCUAGGGAUGGGCCCGCGGCCUAUCAGCUUGUUGGUGGGGUGAUGGCCACCAAGGCGACGACGGGUAGCGGGUCUGAGAGGACGAUCCGCUCGAGUGGGACUGAGACACGGCCCACACACCUACGGGUGGCAGCAGUUGGGAAUCUUGCACAAUGGGGGGAACCCUGAUGCAGCGACGCCGCGUGGAGGAUGAAGGAUCUAGGUCUGUAAACUACCUUUAUCGGGAAAGACUUAGGACGGUACCCGAUGAAUAAGCACCGGCUAACUACGUGCCAGCAGCC
rnacentral:rRNA from 1 species